UGCUGCCUUCUCUCCACGUUCUCCCCUGUAUGUAAGCUUCUUGGUUUUCUCCUCUCAUUUCUACCGUUUACUGCUCAAUGUCUGUAAUCUGCUUCAUGUUCUAUGCUCUGUGUCCUGAUUCUUCUAAGUUCUUCAAGUAAGUUUGCAGGUGCCUCCCAAAGCCCUGGCUGUUGUUUCCUCUUUGUUGCUUCCUACAUGGCAAUCCCGGACUCUAUCUCCUGGAUUCCACACUUCCAGAUCUCAGCCUGACUCCUGCGCUAUUCUGUGCUCUCUCACUCCUCAUGCCAAGACCCUGUCUGUCCUCCAUGGAACUGCUUCCUCCGCCAUCAGACGAGACCGCCUUCCUACAUCCAACAUCCCCUCCCCAACUGUAACUCCGCUGACAUCAGUUCCAUGGCAGCAAAGCACCCCAGAACAUCAUACCACCACCACCACCACCGUAUUGCUAUUAUAUUCUUUGUUUUUCUUAAUGUUGAAUCAUGAACACUGAUUUUAACUGAGUUAAGUGUGGCCUGCAGUGCUUGAGAUGCUGUUGUGAGUUGUUAUUUAAGUAUAUUUCACUUUGGGAUAAAUAAAGUAUUUUUGAAUUGAA